rnacentral:lncRNA from 1 species
UGGCUGCUCUCCCAAGAGGACUUCUAUGCAUCCACUUGCCUAGUUAACUCCUUUUUCUGGCUCUCUAGCUAGACUCUUCAUGGAGUGGUCUGUUUUAGCAUCCUGUGGCUGCCGUAACAAAUCAACACAAACUUGGUGACUUAAAACAACAGUAAUUUAUUCUCCUAAGGCUGAAAUCAAGAUGUCAGCAGGGCUGCACUGCCUCCGAAGGCUCUUGGGGUGAAUGUCUCCUUGCCUUUCCCAGCCUCUGGUAUUGCAGUUGUCCUUGGCUUGUGGCAGCACAACUCCCAUCUCUGCCUCCAUCUUCACACAGUCGGCUCCCCUGUGUGUCUCUGUGUCUCCAGUCUCCCUCCCUGCCUUUCUCUCAUAAGAACACCUGUCAUUGGAUUUAGGGCCCACCCUAAAUCCAAGAUGACCUCAUCUCAAGGUCCUUAAGCUAAUUAGAUCUGCAAAGACCCUUUUCCCACAUAACGUCACAUUCACAAGUUUCUGAAGGUUAGAUCUUGGACUUGUCUUCUCCUAUCCAGCUGGACAAACUGCUGUUCAGCCCACUGCAUAGUCCAUUCCCUUCUACCCAGAUGGGCUCAUCCUGCUGUCUCUUGUCUGGGUGGGGGCACCCACAUUCCCGAAGUGGACAUGGGAAGUCCCUCUACCUCAUAUCCAGUCAGUCACCGAAGGCUGUCAAUGAACUCCUAAUUGCUCUCAAGAGCACCCUCUUUGAUUUCCGCGACAACCCUCCAUGGCUUUCUUUCUCCUCCUCAAGCUCCUUCCAGGGCCUUUGCAUGAACUCUUCCUCCUCUCUGGAAGGUUCUGUCCCUCACGCCUCAUGAGUGGGCUCACUCUCUUCAGAGUUCUCAGCUCAGCUACCACUGCCUACAAGAGGGCUUCCCUCCCUACUGGCCCUCCAGAAGCCCCGGUGACUCCACCGUGUCACUCUGUUUGUUCUUCCCCUAGUCCUUCAUAACAUCUGGUAUCUUCCUGUUUAUUUUUUUGUAGAUUUGUUCUCAUCUUAUUCACACACACACACACACACACACACACACACACACACACAAGCUCCAUGAGGCCAGAGAGCCUCAUCUAGUUUACCACCUCUGUAUUGCUAGUGUCUAAAUCAGACUAGCACAGAGUAAGCAUUUAAUACAAAUCUACUGAAGAAAUGAUUGAUGCUUUCAUGACUGCCUUUAUUUUCUUCGCCUGUUCAGACAAAGCUACCUUUUACCUGUCUCCGGUCACAUCUGAUCACACUGGGCUUAAAAAUCAUGACCAGUUUCCACAAGCUCUUCCUGGCUCCUUGCCUGGGCAUCCCAGGCCCUCGGUGACCUGCCCCUGUGGUGCUACCCAGCCCACCCCAGACGCUUCCUCAAGCUAUCCCUCUGGUCACACCUAAGGACUCUCCCAUGGCCCUUGCGCUGAGUCUUUGCACCUGGUGUCCUCUCUUCUGAUGGCUUGCUCUUCUUUCAGCUUGGGGUCUGUUUCUUCAUUCAAAACCCAGUUCCUGGCUGCACACAGUGGCUCACGCCUAUAAUCCCAGCAGUUUGGGAGGCUGAAGAGGGUGGAUCACCUGAGGUCAGGAGUUCAAGACCAGCCUGGCCAACAUGGUGAAACCCCGUCUCUACUAAAAAUACAAAAAAAAUUGCCAGGCACGGUGGUUCACGCCUGUAAUCCCAGCACUUUGGGAGGCUGAGGUGGGUGGAUUGCUUGAGGCCAGGAGUUCAAGACCAGCCUGGCCAACAUGGUGAAACCCCAUCUCUACUAAAAAUACAAAAAAUUAGCCAAGCAUGGUGGCGCACAUCUGUAAUCUCAGCUGCUCGGGAGGCUGAGGCACGAGAAUCGCUUCAAUCUGGGAGGCAGAGAUUGCAGUGAGCCAUGCUCGUACCACUGCACUCCUGCCUGGGUGACAGAGCGAGACUCUGUCUCAACAAAAAAGAAAAAAAAAACAGAAUACAAAAAAAUUAAAUGGGCGUGGUGGUGCACAUCUGUAGUCCCAGCUACUCAGGAGGCUGACACAGGAGAAUCACUUGAACCCAGGAGGCAGAGGUUGCAGUGAGCUGAGCUCACGUCACUGCUCUCCAGCCUGGUCGACAGAGCGAGUCUCUGUCUUAAAAAAAAAAAUAAAAACCAAAAAACCCAGUCCCUAUGUCACCGACUCCAGGAAGCUUUAUUUGACUUCCCUCUGCCGCCCUAGUGCCACAUGCUUUUGUCAUUACCCAUUCACACAAUCGCAUCACUUGCCUUCUUCAAUGCUUUCUCUACUCAACUGUCACUCCGUGAGGCUCAUCUCUGCAGCACCGGUGUCUAGCACAUCAUGAACACUCUGGAACCAGCACCAGUUCUACUUCCUCAGCCGGGCAGCUCUCCUGUUGGUCAGGUCCCAGACGCCCGUAGCACUGGGCAGGUUCAGCCCUGGUGUAGCACACCUCACACUCCUGGGGGCAUCACCAGGCUGCUGCUUGCCCCUGGAAUGCCUCCUGGCUUUGCCUCCAGGACAUGUUUUCUAGAAUUGCUUGUCAGCUUCUGACUUAUGGAGGCUGCCUUAAUUCCCUGCAUUUACAUGGGCUCAGGUUCCACAGUUUCCAAAUGCUUGCCAGUUCCCCUGGCCCUGGUGCCAGUGGCUAGUCUUCACUUACCGGAGCGAUCGCCGUGGGGUGUCCCAAAGCCAGCAAGAACCUUCCUCCCCAGCCAUGAAAACAAG